rnacentral:tRNA from 1 species
GCCCUCGUAGCCCAAUUGGCAGAGGCAGGCGGCUUAAACCCGCCACAGGUGCGGGUUCGAUUCCCGUCGGGGGCACCA